rnacentral:rRNA from 1 species
UUUUGGACAAUGGGGGCAAGCCUGAUCCAGCAAUGCCGCGUGAGUGAAGAAGGCCUUAGGGUUGUAAAGCUCUUUUGUCAGGGAAGAAACGCAUUAGUUUAAUACAUAUUUGUAAUGACGUUACCCGCAAAAUAAGCACCGGCUAACUCCGUGCCAGCAGCCGCGGUAAUACGUAGGGUGCAAGCGUUAAUCGGAAUUAUUGGGCGUAAAGGUGCGCAGGCGGUUAGAUAAGUCAUAUGUGAAAACCCCGGGCUCAACCUGGGAAAGGCAUUUAAGACUGCAGGGCUAGAGUAUGUCAGAGGGCAGUGGAAUUUCCCGUGUAGCAGUGAAAUGCGUAGAGAUCGGGAGGAACACCGAUGGCGAAGGCAGCCCCCUGGGAUAACACUGACACUCAGCACGAAA